rnacentral:rRNA from 1 species
GAUGAACGCUGGCGGCGUGCCUAAUACAUGCAAGUCGAGCGAACAGACGAGGAGCUUGCUCCUCUGACGUUAGCGGCGGACGGGUGAGUAACACGUGGAUAACCUACCUAUAAGACUGGGAUAACUUCGGGAAACCGGAGCUAAUACCGGAUAAUAUAUUGAACCGCAUGGUUCAAUAGUGAAAGACGGUUUUGCUGUCACUUAUAGAUGGAUCCGCGCCGCAUUAGCUAGUUGGUAAGGUAACGGCUUACCAAGGCAACGAUGCGUAGCCGACCUGAGAGGGUGAUCGGCCACACUGGAACUGAGACACGGUCCAGACUCCUACGGGAGGCAGCAGUAGGGAAUCUUCCGCAAUGGGCGAAAGCCUGACGGAGCAACGCCGCGUGAGUGAUGAAGGUCUUCGGAUCGUAAAACUCUGUUAUUAGGGAAGAACAAAUGUGUAAGUAAAUAUGCACGUCUUGACGGUACCUAAUCAGAAAGCAACGGCUAACUACGUG